UUUCCCCAUUUCGCUCCCUCUGCUGUCGCCAGUUUUAGGACAUCCUUACGCCCAUGGAAAAACGUCCCUGCCCAGGCUUUCUCUGACAUCCUUGAUAUCUCAGAGCGGUUCCUCAUAUCAUCCGGUCUUCCUCAGUCCCCUUGGUUCUGAGAGACGAGAAGAGAGGGUUGGAGUCAUGGAUCUCGGACAGCAAAUAUCGGCGACUGCAUCGACUACAGCCAGCGGAAGAGGAUGAACAUCGCCGACCUGAUCCAGGAAACCCUGGAGCUGUUUGAGCGCCACGGGGGGAAUGACGCCUUUAUCAACAUCAAGUACAUGGUGCCCACCUACGAGUCCUGCAUGCUCAACUGACCCGAGGCGGCUUCACACAACCUCUAAUUCUUUCCUUCAACUCGUAGCACAAAUUCGUUUUUUCAUGUGUUUAUUGGUGCGAUUGUGUUUCUCUUCAUAUUGCUCUGGGCCGUUCUUCACCCUGCUGUUACCUGAGCCCCCCCACACACACAUACACACACAUACACACACACACACAUGCCCCUCUCCCUCUCCUUUUUUUAUCAUACUGUGUGACCCCCAUUAAAAUCAUACCGGCAAGCCACUUAA